UACGGAGGGUGCAAGCGUUGUCCGGAAUCACUGGGCGUAAAGGGCGCGUAGGCGGCUUCUCAAGCGUGUGGUGAAAGUCCGGGGCUCAACCCCGGAUCGGCCGUGCGGACUGGGGAGCUCGAGUUCUGUAGAGGCGGGUGGAAUUCCGGGUGUAGCGGUGGAAUGCGUAGAGAUCCGGAAGAACACCGGUGGCGAAGGCGGCCCGCUGGGCAGAGACUGACGCUGAGGCGCGACAGCGUGGGGAGCAAACAGG
rnacentral:rRNA from 1 species